rnacentral:rRNA from 1 species
UACGUAGGGCGCGAGCGUUGUCCGGAUUUAUUGGGCGUAAAGAGCUCGUAGGCGGCUUGUUGCGUCGUCCGUGAAAACCCACGGCUUAACUGUGGGCUUGCGGUCGAUACGGGCGGGCUGGAGUUCGGUAGGGGAGACUGGAAUUCCUGGUGUAGCGGUGAAAUGCGCAGAUAUCAGGAGGAACACCGGUGGCGAAGGCGGGUCUCUGGGCCGAUACUGACGCUGAGGAGCGAAAGCGUGGGGAGCGAACAGG